ACAUCCAGAGAAUUUAGCAGAGAUGCUUUAGUGCCUUCGGGAACUCUGAGACAGGUGCUGCAUGGCUGUCGUCAGCUCGUGUUGUGAAAUGUUGGGUUAAGUCCCGCAACGAGCGCAACCCUUAUCCUUUGUUGCCAGCACGUAAUGGUGGGAACUCAAAGGAGACUGCCGGUGAUAAACCGGAGGAAGGUGGGGAUGACGUCAAGUCAUCAUGGCCCUUACGAGUAGGGCUACACACGUGCUACAAUGGCGCAUACAAAGAGAAGCGACCUCGCGAGAGCAAGCGGACCUCAUAAAGUGCGUCGUAGUCCGGAUUGGAGUCUGCAACUCGACUCCAUGAAGUCGGAAUCGCUAGUAAUCGUAAAUCAGAGUGUUACGGUGAAUACGUUCCCGGGCCUUGUACACACCGCCCGUCACACCAUGGGAGUGGGUUGCAAAAGAAGUAGAUAGCUUAACCUUCGGGAGGGCGUUUACCACUUUGUGAUUCAUGACUGGGGUGAAGUCGUAACAAGGUAGGCGUAGUGCU
rnacentral:rRNA from 1 species